rnacentral:lncRNA from 10 species
AUGGGAUUAGGGGCUUAUCCUAAUCCAGGAUGACAUCAUUUUAACUUGAUUACCUCUCAAAGACCUUAUUUCUUUUUCUUUUUCUUUUUUCUUUUCUUUUCUUUUUUCUUUUUUUUUUUUUUUUUUUUGCAAUGGAGUCUUGCUCCGUCGCCCAGGCUGGAGGGCAGUGGCACGAUCUUGGCUCACUGCAACCUCUGACUCCCUGGUUCAAGUGAUUCUCCUGCCUCAGCCUCCCAAGUAGCUGGUAUUACAGGCGUGCACCACCAUGCCCAGCUAAUUUUUGUAUUUUUGGUAGAGAUGGGGUUUCACCACGUUGGCCAGGAUGGUCUCAAUUUCCUGACAUUGUGAUCCGCCCCCUUGGCCUCCCAAAGUGCUGGGAUUACAGGUGCGAGCCACCAGGCCCGGCCAACCUUAUUUUUAAAUAGGGCACCUUUGCAGGUUCCAAGUGGACAUGAAUUUUUAGGGAAAUGUUAUUUGAGUACAGACAGAUAAUAUAUCUCAUGUCUCAAUUACAUUUGGAGCUAUUUGACUUUUAUAUUUAGCAUGAAACUUGGUGUGGCAUAGUAGGUAGUUGAUCUUUGAUAGAUACAAUGUUGCAAAAUGAUGGCCUUUGUGGGUUUAUUGUGGAGGCAACAGCUGAGGCAAGGGAAUUAGGGAAAAAAAGAGAGGCAGAAAGAAAUAUUUCUUCAUGUCAUCUCUCCCUUGGCUCAGCGGAGAAUCUAGUUUCUAGGAGGUGUCAAUCUCAUCGCUUGCCUCACCCUUUGGCUAAUCUUUAAAAAAAGAAAAAAGCCUUCAAAUCAUUCUUAAAAAAUAAUUUCAACAAUGCAAAUCAACAACCGCACACACAAAAUCCAACAAAAAGACCCCUCGGCACAUCAAGAAGAUGCUGAUACCAAAAGCUGAAAUAGCUUCUCCAUAAUGCAAUGAAAUGUAUUAAAUUCAAUAGACAUCAAAGGAACUUCGGGAGCAAUUGCUGAAUUUCCGAAGUAAACAGGGCUUUCAAAAGAAACAAAAACAGCACUGGGAUCUGGGGGGUGGGAGCGCAUUUUGAGGGG